AACAAUUUUAGUGGUUGAAGAUUAUAAACCCUAGUUAUCACACUCAAGAAAAUCAUUUUUUUUUUCGAAGAUAUCCAUUUUCAUCAUCCAAAUUAAAAGACUGUCGUCAAGUACUUUUAGAAAAAAAUAGCUAUUCGAACACACCUACUCUGUUUUUGUGAUUCAUUAGAUAGGUAUCUCACUUGACCCAUAUAUUUCAUCUUUUCGUACGGUCAUUUUUUUACGUUAUAAAGUCAACCUGUAGCUUUGAUAUAUAAUAAUGAUAGAAUCUGAAGCGAGAUGCUAUAUAAAAUACUCUUGCUUUGUACGUUUUAAAGACAAAAUAUACACCCAAACAUGCCCUAACAUAAAAAGGUGCACUCGAUUUUUCUCUUUUCGAUACAAUCGUUACCUGUUUUGGGGAAUUUUUUCUUGAUUCACAUAAUGGAAGGGCAGACACGAAAAUUUCUGAACUAUAAGAUUGAUAUGUUCUCCGUCCGUGAUAAAAAAAAAUCGGAGGUUAUGCAUUUUCUACAUCCAACUUAUAGAUACUAUAUAUAAAAAAGAAGAUGUAGUAUUAUUGCCAAUGAGACAACUAUCCAGAAAAGACCAAAAUGACACAAACAUUAACAAUUAUAGGUUACCGUAAGGCCUUCAACAAUGAGCAAAGCCCAUACCGCAUAGUCAGCUAUAAAAGGCCCCGAUAAGAACCAUGUCGUCGACUUGAUAUCUUAUUGUUUUGCAUUACUAUGUAAUAGAUACAUUGAAAACUUAUGCAAAUGGUGUUUUUAAAAUAAGAAAAUUGUCGUUUUAUUUGUUUCUAUUAACUUUUUAAAAUUUUGUUACUAUAUCAAACAUUACAGUUAACAUUUAUCGCUUUCUCGAUGCACACAGAGCUUCGAUUCUUUUGUUCUAUUUCAAAAGUGUUUCCGCCUGCAUAUACCAAGACAAAUUAAGAUUUUAAUCUGCUUCCUCUGGAACCAUACACAUGGGCUCGAUUACCAAAUAUUCAUAUGUAUUAUUAAUGUUUUUAAUGCUCCAUUUAUUGGCAUUAUGUUUUUCUGGUCUGUGCGUACGUUCGUCCGUUCGUCUGUUUGUUUGUCCAGCUUCAAGUUAAAUAAAAUUGAAACUUAGUACACAUUUUCCCUAUAGUAUGAUCUUUUUAAUUCUAAUGCCAAAUUACAGUUUUAUCCCAUUUUCAUAGUCCACUAAACAUAGAAAAUGAUAGUGUAGAUGAGGCAUCCGUGUACUAGGGAC
rnacentral:lncRNA from 1 species